CCGGGGUGUGCGGCUCUCCCCGGCCGCGGGGUCCCCCCGGCCCAGCCCGGCUCCCCCGCACCGACCCCGGCCCCGGCCGGAGGAAGUUUCUGCUGCGGGACACGGCAGGAGAACACGAGCCGAACACAGAACCCCCGCUCUGCGUGGCUCCCCCGGGCUAGCGCUCAGGUGGUGUUGACAGAAGAAGAUGGGUAGGAGAUUUCAAUGGCAGGCACACGUGUCCCAGGAGAGGGUGAGACACCAACAGAGAUGGAGCAAGAAAUGAGCCUUGGACAGCUGCAGGAGAGAAACCCAAACCUUCUUUGGAAAGCAGGGUCACCUGCAAGCUGGGGGCACCUUAUGAAACACCCAUCCCUCCAGACAUCUGGGAGCAUCAAGCAGCCAUCGGGAGCUGGCACGGGUCCCAUCAGCACUGGGGAAGGUGCAGAGCAGAGAAAUGAGGGAGGGAGGUGCUGCUCAGGACCCACCACGCCGCUGGGAUGUGCCCACGGAUAGAAGGGGAAAUGUGGAAGGGACAACAGGGAGCCAAGAGAACACAACAGCACCUAAAGGAAAGGGUGAAGACUGAACGUGUGAAACAAAGGUGGUUUGGGCUCAGAUGGGAGAGAAGAUCCAUACCUGGAGCAUCUCCUUCAGUGGAAGAUGAUUUCAGAGGAGUUGGAAUGUUUGACUGGCUCAGGAUUUGCCUGGGAGAGGUUAGGCUGGUGUUUCUAGCGUGACUGCAACCAAGCCAGCUCUGCUGGGGCUGGCUGCAGGGUUUAUUCAUGGUGGGGAAGGAAGGGACCAGCUGACUUUUAGAUGCCCAAAAGCAUAAAGAGAGGGUUUCAUGAUCAUGGACAAUGACCAUACUACUUCACCUCAGGGCUUUUCAGAUGUCAGCCAUGUCCCAAAAAAUUACAUGAUGAAGAAAGGGGGAAUAAACCCCAGUGCAAGCAAGGCAGCACAAUCUCCUCCCCUGUCUUAGGGCUGCCCUUACUAGAGGCUCAACUGAUCCUAGUUUUGGGACCUGAGAGGUGAACUCCCGAUGCAGAGCAAACAUCCCUUUAUGGGGGUCUCUCUUUUCACCCUUAGAACAGAGAGCCUCCCAUUUCCACAGCUGCUGGGUGCAGCCUCCUGGUCCCACCAUCACAACCUUUUGUCCCAAGCAAGAGCUUCCUUGGGGAAGGCCAUUUCAUGGCCAUGCACCUCCCCUGGUUGUCUUUGGGUCUGUGUCCCCUCUCCAGCACCCCUUUACCCUAUUAAUAUCCUUUGACUGUCCUCACACCUGCAGACAAUCUGGUCCCCAACCACCUCCACCUCCCCCCUUCCUCAAAAGCUUCCCUCAGCUGUCUUUAAGUCGUAGCUGAAAUCUGUGGUAUGUAGGAGGAGAAAUUCAGUCUGACAGCAGUUUAAAACACCGCACUACUUGGCAGAUUUAAAUGCUAUUUUAAAUAUAAGCUAUGACACAACGGACAAAAAUAGCAUUGAAAAUACCCUGUCAUGUUCCAUAUUGCGAGGAAUAGGGAAGCAGACCAGGCUAGAAAGGAGCAGAGAGAGGGGCCAGAUGGAGAGGAGAGGUUAUUUUGUUUGUUUUAAAGAAACUGGAUAAAUGUAUUUUGUAUGUGACUGAGUAAAUGUGUUUUAUAGAGCAAUGAGCCAAAAAAAAAAAAAUAAACCUUCUUAUGAAAAA